rnacentral:rRNA from 1 species
UACGAAGGGGGCUAGCGUUGUUCGGAUUUACUGGGCGUAAAGCGCACGUAGGCGGAUUGUUAAGUCAGGGGUGAAAUCCUGGAGCUCAACUCCAGAACUGCCUUUGAUACUGGCAAUCUAGAGUCCGGAAGAGGUGAGUGGAACUCCUAGUGUAGAGGUGGAAUUCGUAGAUAUUAGGAAGAACACCAGUGGCGAAGGCGGCUCACUGGUCCGGUACUGACGCUGAGGCACGAAAAGCGUGGGGAGCAAACAGG